rnacentral:rRNA from 1 species
GACGAACGCUGGCGGCGUGCCUAAUACAUGCAAGUCGAACGCAGUGGGGACGGGUGAGUAACACGUGGGUAACCUCCCAUCAGAGGGGAUAACACUUGGAAACAGGUGCUAAACCGAUACUGAUGGAUGAACCCCUAUGGGAUUAGCUAGUAGGUGGGGUAAAGGCUCACCUAGGCGACGAUCUCUAGCUGGUCGUAGAGGAUGUUGAUGCACACUGGGACUGAGACACGGCCCAUACUCCUACGGGAGGCAGCAGUGGGGAAUAUUGCACAAUGGGCGCAAGCCUGAGGCAGCCACGCCGCGUGAGUGAAGAAGGUUUUCGGAUCGUAAAACUCUGUUGUUAGAGAAGCGGUAUCUAACCAGAAAGCCACGGCUAACUACGUGCCAGCAGCCGCGGUAAUUC